UGUAAUUGCUUAUCGUUUUUAAAAUUAUUUUUUUUAGAAAUAAAGAAUACAUAUUCGUAGAAUGAUUGCAGAGCAAUCUCUGAUCACUGAAAUUAGUUGUCAUGACAUGAACUAGUUGUUCAUCUCUGUAUGUUUAUAUAAAUAAACUUGUGGAAAUAAACUUUCGCUAGUCGUUUUCAACCAGACCCGUGUGAAUAAAUAAUAGUACAUAUUUAAAAUACUUUGUAUACAGUAAGGACUAAUUCAAACUGAAAAUGUAGCAUAAUUUUCACAAAAAUAUGAACUUGGUUGGCUUUUUUUAUAAGAUAUAUUGUUUACCUAAUUAAUAAUUACAAAGCCAGGAAGGUGGCCAUGCAGUCAAAGACUAUAAUAGUCCAGUGAUAUAGAUGAAUUUGAUUAUUUGCCUUGUUGGACACUUUCAAUUCAUCGUACAGAAAGGCUCUGAAAUCUUGCUAAUCAUUGACAGCUUUUUUUCUUCAAGUUUAUAUGCAAUGUUUGCUCUGGAAUCUGGACAUGCUUAAAUUUAAGUUUUCCAUAUAUAGUCAAACAUACUUAUAAAAGUAAUUUCCCUUUACUUUUCGAGAAUUAUUUAAAUUUUGAAAUACUGCUUUAUUUUAAAAAAUAAUAAAAGUAAACCUUUAUUACAUUUACUAGUUUUGUCUAGAACUAAUCAAACCAUGAUAAAAAAGGUUUUACUCGAAAAUUUUUUUUGCAAAAGUUGAUAUCUGAGAUGUAUUUAAUUACCUGCUUCUUCAUUACAUUUCCCCAAUCCUCUCAUCUGAUUCAAAAGUUGAAUUAAAUUAAACAUUUUCCAUUAAUUUUUUUAUCUCCACUGAAUGUAACAAAGAACGAAACCAAGAUUUUUUUGGCCUCAAUUUCACAACGCCACCAUUGUUUUGUUCACCACAUACAGGACAAAAUAAUUUCGCAUCAAUUUGUCACAAGUUGACUAUGGCAUAUGAAGUAGUUUGUGAUCCACAGAAAUGAUGUGCUAAAAUACUAAAGGUAAUAAUAAGGUUGCUAAUGAAUAUGACGUUAAUCUAUACAGAGAAUUGGGACACUGAAGUAACAAUAACCAUAGCAACACAGACCAAAUUAACAAUCUCAGUUCUAUGUUGCUAUGUCUAAUUGUUUGGAAAAUAAGGAUUUUUGUCAAGUUUUUUACAGACAGGUAACAUCUUUAAGAUCUGAAGAAAAGAAAGGCACAUUAUGUUCUUCUGAUUUUUCUUGGCCAGGUUUUCUAAGCUUUCAGCGAGAUCCACCCAAUACCUCCCAUAAAACUUAACAUGCAGAAGAUUUAUGCCUCCAAGAGCAAUUAACUUUUUGUUUACUGCAACCCAUUGCCAACCUUGCUGACAGCAGUUUCAUCUACAAAAAAACCUCAUGAACAUCUUCAUGCAAAGAGCAACUAUACAGUUCCCACAGCUGAACAAAUCUUCUGCUUUUGUACUUAUUGCUUAAAAAGUCAAGGACUGCUUUCCUUCCUCUAAAUCCUAAUCCCUGUCUACGACCUGAGAUUUGCUGGCGCCUUGGGAUUCUGUUCAUGAUUUUUACCAUACCAAGCAUGAAGAAGUCAACUUUAAUAUUGGGCUAUUCAGCUGCUUUCCUUCACACACAAAACAAAUAUACAGUAUUCAAUACCAUGUACGCAAAAUACCAAAGUCAGUGACCUCCAUAUUUGAUGACUAAGAAAGUUUGGACAUUCAACCAUGAAACAGGGCUAGCUGGGUUUUAUUUGUUUACCUCUUCUUUGAAUCUCAUGUUUAAGAUGCUACCUUUUUAGUGUUGAAUUAAUAAAUCAUCAUUAACUUG